CAUAAUACCUCGUUCGUCGGUGCCCGUUCGGGCCUAACAGGGAACACAGCGAAACUGUGGCUGCCCCCGCAAUUGUACGCAGCGAGUCCGCGCUCCACUGCCACUGGUUUUUACCGGGAAGGCCGGCGCGGGCGGCGACCUGCGAGCCAAGAGACCUGCCGACACAACGUUCGCGCGU
rnacentral:ncRNA from 14 species